GGCACCACCAGGAGUGGAGCCUGCGGCUUAAUUUGACCCAACACGGGGAAACUCACCAGGUCCAGACACAAUAAGGAUUGACAGAUUGAGAGCUCUUUCUUGAUUUUGUGGGUGGUGGUGCAUGGCCGUUCUUAGUUGGUGGAGCGAUUUGUCUGGUUAAUUCCGAUAACGAACGAGACUCUAGCCUGCUAACUAGGCGUAUUUCGACAUCCCAAAGGCCCGUCGGCGGAGUUUCCUGCUCUUGCUGCACGCGGUUUUUACUGUCGGCGUACACACAAUUCUUCUUAGAGGGACAGGCGGCUUCUAGCCGCACGAGAUUGAGCAAUAACAGGUCUGUGAUGCCCUUAGACGUUCUGGGCCGCACGCGCGCUACACUGAAGGAAUCAGCGUGUCCUCCCUGGCCGAGCGGCCCGGGUAACCCGCUGAACCUCCUUCGUGCUAGGGAUUGGGGCUUGCAAUUGUUCCCCAUGAACGAGGAAUUCCCAGUAAGCGCGAGUCAUAAGCUCGCGUUGAUUACGUCCCUGCCCUUUGUACACACCGCCCGUCGCUACUACCGAUUGAAUGGCUUAGUGAGGACUCCGGAUUGGUUCAGAGUAGAGGGCAACUUCAACUUGGAACCGAAAAGCUGUUCAAACUUGGUCAUUUAGAGGAAGUAAAAGUCGUAACAAGGUUUCCGUAGG
rnacentral:rRNA from 1 species